UUAAGUGACUAAGCGUACAAGGUGGAUGCCUUGGCAAUCAGAGGCGAGGAAGGACGUGCUAAUCUGCGAAAAGCUUGGAUGAGUCGAUAAGAGGCGUUUAAUCCAAGAUGUCCGAAUGGGGAAACCCAGUAGAUGAAGAAUCUACUAUCACUUACUGAAUCCAUAGGUAAGUGAGGCAAACCGGGAGAACUGAAACAUCUAAGUACCCCGAGGAAAAGAAAUCAACCGAGAUUUCGUUAGUAGCGGCGAGCGAACGCGAAGGAGCCUGUUAGUGAUAAUGACAGAGACAGAGGAACAAGCUGGGAAGCUUGGCGAUACAGGGUGAUAGCCCCGUACUCGAAGUCCAGGUCAUGGUACUAAGCUAACGACAAGUAGGGCGGGACACGUGAUAUCCUGUUUGAAGAUGGGGGGACCAUCCUCCAAGGCUAAAUACUCCUGAUUGACCGAUAGUGAACCAGUACUGUGAAGGAAAGGCGAAAAGAACCCCGGUGAGGGGAGUGAAAUAGAACCUGAAACCUUGUACGUACAAGCAGUGGGAGCCCUUUAAGGGUGACUGCGUACCUUUUGUAUAAUGGGUCAGCGACUUAUAUUUUGUAGCGAGGUUAACCGAAUAGGGGAGCCGAAGGGAAACCGAGUCUUAACUGGGCGAAUAGUUGCAAGGUAUAGACCCGAAACCCGGUGAUCUAGCCAUGGGCAGGUUGAAGGUUGGGUAACACUAACUGGAGGACCGAACCGACUAAUGUUGAAAAAUUAGCGGAUGACUUGUGGCUGGGGGUGAAAGGCCAAUCAAACCGGGAGAUAGCUGGUUCUCCCCGAAAUCUAUUUAGGUAGAGCCUUGAGCGGACACCUUCGGGGGUAGAGCACUGUUUCGGCUAGGGGUCCAUCCCGGAUUACCAACCCGAUGCAAACUACGAAUACCGAAGAGUGAUACUCAGGAGACACACGGCGGGUGCUAACGUCCGUCGUGGAGAGGGAAACAACCCAGACCGCCAGCUAAGGUCCCAAAGUCUAUAUUAAGUGGGAAACGAAGUGGGAAGGCUUAGACAGCUAGGAUGUUGGCUUAGAAGCAGCCAUCAUUUAAAGAAAGCGUAAUAGCUCACUAGUCGAGUCGGCCUGCGCGGAAGAUGUAACGGGGCUCAAAUAUAGCACCGAAGCUGCGGCAUCAGUAGCAAUACUGUUGGGUAGGGGAGCGUUCUGUAAGCGGAUGAAGGUGAAUCGAGAGGUUUGCUGGACGUAUCAGAAGUGCGAAUGCUGACAUAAGUAACGAUAAAACGGGUGAAAAACCCGUUCGCCGGAAGACCAAGGGUUCCUGUCCAACGUUAAUCGGGGCAGGGUGAGUCGGCCCCUAAGGCGAGGCUGAAAAGCGUAGUCGAUGGGAAACGGGUUAAUAUUCCCGUACUUGGAUAAACUGCGAUGUGGGGACGGAGUAGGUUAGGUUAUCGCACUGUUGGAUAUGUGCGUUUAAGUUGGUAGGUGUGAAGUUUAGGCAAAUCCGGACUUCUUUAACACCGAGAGAUGAUGACGAGGCUCUACGGAGCUGAAGUAACCGAUACCACACUUCCAGGAAAAGCCACUAAGCUUCAGGUUUAUCUAAACCGUACUGAAAACCGACACAGGUGGUCAGGUAGAGAAUACUCAGGCGCUUGAGAGAACUCGGGUGAAGGAACUAGGCAAAAUAGCACCGUAACUUCGGGAGAAGGUGCGCCGGCGUAGAUUGUAGUCCCUUGCGGGCGAAGGUUGAACCGGUCGAAGAUACCAGCUGGCUGCAACUGUUUAUUAAAAACACAGCACUCUGCAAACACGAAAGUGGACGUAUAGGGUGUGAUGCCUGCCCGGUGCUGGAAGGUUAAUUGAUGGUGUAAUCGAAAGAGAAGCUCCUGAUCGAAGCCCCAGUAAACGGCGGCCGUAACUAUAACGGUCCUAAGGUAGCGAAAUUCCUUGUCGGGU
rnacentral:rRNA from 1 species